AGUUAAGCAAAGGGAACGGUUAAGGCCGUCAGAGAGCCAGGCCUCGGCCCGGCUUGGGAAGGCCCCGGGAAAGUUCUGAGGAGUCUUUCACAAAAAGCCGCGGAGGGAGGGAGGAGUUGGGGCGCGCUGGAUUUUCCUGCGCCGGUUUGGAGAGCGGCUGAUCACCGUAAAGCAAGAGAAGACCUCGCUCUCGGAUCUUUCCACGCCCGCCUCCUUCUCUCCAGGCCUUUCCACUUGCCGGGCUCUCAGCUGCCCGGAGACUGAUGCCCGCAAAGGUCUCCUGAGCUGCCCACUUCCCAGCCUACUCGGACCCGGACCCUCGUGGGCGCCCAGACCCACUGGCCUAGUCUUAUGUGACCGCUCUCACUUGAGGAAUAUCUUACAAAGAAGAAGAAAGACGGCUUCGAGCCGUGUUUACAGCUAUUCUCCUGAUCCUUUUACAUCUGGGGAGUUUAUUUAUAACUCCCACUAUAACUCUCUCUCUGUUUGAGGCGCUGGUGGCUCUAUUGACAGACUGAUGACUAGGAAUUAUAGCCCUAUCUCUAACCAUAUCUAACUAAAUGUGCCGUAGUUCUCUCUUACAGAUUUAUGCUUGGGGGAAAUAUAAUUAUUUCCAUUGUAUUUGUGCAUAUACAAUAGUUGUAGGAGCAGAUUUAUCUACAGGGAAAUAGAUGGCUUUCUUAUAGCCAUCCAGCUUUAUGGACAUUUGAUA